rnacentral:rRNA from 1 species
CCCUUUGGCGGGGGACAACAGCUCGAAAGGGUUGCUAAUACCGCAUACGUCUCUAGAGGCUUUGGCUUCUAGAGGGAAAGAUGGCCUCUUCAUGAAAGCUAUCACCAAAGGAUGAGUCCGCGUAGCAUCAGCUUGUUGGUGGGGUAAUGGCCUACCAAGGCAAAGACGCUUAGCUGGUCUGAGAGGAUGAUCAGCCACACUGGGACUGAGACACGGCCCAG